rnacentral:lncRNA from 1 species
GGCCACAUAUACAAGUGAAACAAAAACAACAAAUACAGUACUUGAUAAAAUCAAACAAGAUACAAUCAAAGAAGAAAUUAAUAAGAUAAUGAAUUCAAAUCACACCAAGGAUGAGGCGGAGGAACUCUCAGAUCUAUUUGAACAGACGACAAAGUAUGUGGAAUCACAUGGCACAGAUGAAAUCUGGAAAAAUGCUAAAAUAACAAUAUAUGAUUCCAGUGACAAUGUAUAUAUUUUUAGAAGUGGAG